rnacentral:lncRNA from 1 species
CCAUUGAUAGCUAAAUAUAGUUCCCUAAGUCCCUCUUCAUUUUGUCUCUCUCAUAUCAAACUUUAUCCCUCUUGCUCUCAACCCUACAUCUCUGUGUGUGCCAGUUACCAAUGGAAAUUCAGUUCCAACAACAAGAGCAGCAGCAGCAACUGCAUCGAAAAUCAAGCAAUAUUCCUGUUAGCAAAGGGGGCAAAUUCAAGGGAAGAAAUAAAAACAACGGUAAGGUUAACAAGUUUGUUGGUGUGAGGCAAAGGCCUUCUGGUAGAUGGGUGGCUGAGAUCAAGGACACAACACAGAAGAUCAGGAUGUGGCUUGGCACCUUUGAGACUGCUGAAGAAGCUGCUAGAGCUUAUGAUGAAGCUGCUUGCCUUCUCCGCGGAUCCAAUACCCGAACCAACUUCAUUACACAGGUGUCCUUGGAUUCUCCUCUUGCUUCUC